GUGGGUGUAGCUCAGUCGGUUAGAGCGCCGGAUUGUGGUUCCGGAGGCCGCCGGUUCAAAUCCGGUCAUCCACC
rnacentral:tRNA from 2 species